rnacentral:rRNA from 1 species
UACGUAGGGUGCAAGCGUUAAUCGGAAUUACUGGGCGUAAAGCGUGCGCAGGCGGUUGUGCAAGACCGAUGUGAAAUCCCCGGGCUUAACCUGGGAAUGGCAUUGGUGACUGCACGGCUAGAGUGUGUCAGAGGGGGGUAGAAUUCCACGUGUAGCAGUGAAAUGCGUAGAGGUGUGGAGGAAUACCGAUGGCGAAGGCAGCCCCCUGGGAUAACACUGACGCUCAUGCACGAAAGCGUGGGGAGCAAACAGG